GCCGGGGUGGCGGAAUUGGUAGACGCAAGGGACUUAAAAUCCCUCGGAAUUAACGUUCCGUGCCGGUUCGAGUCCGGCCCUCGGCA
rnacentral:tRNA from 1 species